AUGUUUGUUACCGUGUGGUAUUUUUCUCUCUCAAUCGUACACAUACAAUACUAUCAAACGUUUGUUAUCGCGUGUUGUGUACUCAAGUGAUUUUUUUUCAUCUCAUAGAAUAAAGAUAUUAUUUGUUUAAUUUAGACACACCUCAAUCAGCUAUCUUUUUAUUAAUAACCCUACUACAGAUGAAAUAAGGAGUGUCCCUAUUGGCACUCACAACUUAGAAAGUUGCUUUGUCAUCACCCAUAUCGCCUAUAUACCCUGUAGCGCUAUACUAUAUACACUCGCAACAAAAAUCCGUCAGUUUAACUUUUCAGAUUAUUAAAUACUUGUAAGCUGAAACAACACAAACAAAUAACAGAUUCUAUCUCGAUCUAAAAACGUAAAGCGAAAAUUUAUUAAUCAGCCAGGAAGUCAUGCAGUUCGUUGUUUUCCUCUUCUCGAAACGUUUAUUCGUUCAUUUAGCUUUGUGUUCUUCGUUCUCCGUCGUAAAAUCACAACCAGGUGGCGCCACACAGCGGCAUUACGUGACCUCCGCACGAGCGAGUGAUCUCGCGGCGACCUUCACUCGACAGGUUGUCACUCAACAGUCAGACAGGUUGUCACUCAACAGUCAGACAGGUUGUCACUCAACAGUCAGACAGGUUGUCACUCAACAGUCAGACAGGUUGUCACUCAACAGUCAGGCAGGUUGUCACUCAACAGUCAGGCAGGUUGUCACUCAACAGUCAGGCAGGUUGUCACUCAACAGUCAGACAGGUUGUCACUCAACAGUCAGGCAGGUUGUCACUCAACAGUCAGGCAGGUUGUCACUCAACAGUCAGGCAGUUUGUCGUUUUCCUCUUCUCAGAACUCAUUUCGUGUCGGUUCUUCGGUCUUCGUCUUAAAAUCACAACCAGGUGGCGCAUGUGACCUUCACUCGACUUCUCGCGUCUCCAGGCGCCAGCAGAACUCCGCAGACGUAGUGUAUCUGCAUAGAAGUCGCCACACCUUACGCACGGCACUUCACUCGACCUUCUCCCGUCCUCCCGCCGCCGCUCCUCC